rnacentral:sRNA from 1 species
CAAACCAACUGUCAAUCCCGUACUUUUUGAGCUGUUGAAUGGUGUAUUUAAUGGUAGUCACAUCCAGUAAGGGUUGGUUAUCUGCAUAAAUUAAGGGAAUCGGCAAGCCUCAUACUCGUUGUCUGGAAAUACACCAUUCAGCACGUUGCAAC